UUUAGAAACGGUGUUGUGUCCAGUAGUCGAUUACAAUUUCAGAUAGAGUUGUGUCACGCGUUAAAUGUAAAGUCAAUGCUUUUGCCACCUUUUAUUAUAGGUACAGAACGGCAAAAGUGCCAUUUCCAGAACGGCAGAAGUUGAGAGAGGAAAGUGGAGUCAUUUUUGAAACAGCCCAGUGAGAAGGAAGUUAUUUGCCAAAGGAAGUGCCUCAGCAUGAACUUUAACAUUUUUUAAAAGUAUUCAUCAAGUCCUUUGUACCCAUUAUGUGACCUUGAAGCAUUCAUCAAAGACACCUGAUGAAGCGCUACCCAUCGGAUAAGAGGUGUUUGAAACGUGGCUUCCCCGACGACGAGAGAGGGAGUUUAAGCGAGGAGAUGGGAGAUUGUGGAUCUCGGAGAAGGAGGUGAUUCAUCACCUGGCAUUGAGGGUAAUGAGCGAGGCGUGGAGGUGAACACAUUAAACCAAGCCGACUUUGCCCAGCCCAGCCAGGAGGGAUGAUAGAGACGGUACAGGAACAGAGGGGUAGCGGCCAGGACCAAACCAGACCCUCUCCACAUCCCUUCCAACUCCUCCAUGGUGGCCCCACACCUGUCCAACACUGGGAGGCGAUUUUACACAACAACAACACUAGAACAGAUGCACAAUCCGAGAGCAUGCUAUCGGGCUGUAUCACAGCCUGGUACAGCAACUGCACUGCCCUCAACCACAAGGCUCUCCAGAGGGUGGUGCGGUCUUCACAACGCACCACUUGGGGCAAACUACCUGCCCUACAUGACACAUACAGCACCCGAUGCCAGAGGAAGGCCCAAAAGAUCAUCAAGGACAUUAACCACCCAAGCCACUGCCUGUUCACACCGCUACCAUCCAGAAGGCAAGGUCAGUACAGGUGCAUCAAAGCUGAGACCGAGGGACUGAAAAACAGCCUCUAUCUCAAGGCCAUCAGACUGCUAAACAGCAAUCACUAACUCAGAGAGGCUGCUGCCUACAAUGAGACCCAAUCACUGGACACUUUAAUACAUGGAUCACUAGUCACUUUAUACAAUGCACUCUGAAUAAUGGCACUUUAAUAAUGUUGACAUAUAUUACAUUACUCAUAUCACAUGUACAGUAUAUACUGUAUUUUAUCCCAUCUACUGCACCUUGCCUAUGCUGCUUGGCCAUCACUCAUCCAUAUACUUACAUGUACACAUUCUCAUUCACCCCUUUAGAUUUGUGUGUAUUAGGUAGUUGUUGGGGAAUUGUUUGACUACUUGUUAGAUAUUACUACACUGUCGGAACUAGAAGCACAAGCAUUUCGCUACACUCGCAUUAACAUCUGCUAACCAUGUGUAUGUGACAAAUACGAUUUGAUUUUAUUACCUCACACCCUGCACAUCGACUCAGUACUGGUACCCCAUACAUAUAGCCAAGUUAUCCUCACUCAUUGUGUAUUUAUUCCUUGUGUUAUUAUUUUUUAUAUAUCUCUCUCUGCAUUGUU